rnacentral:tRNA from 1 species
GCCGAAGUGGCGGAACAGGCAGACGCGCUACGUUCAGGGCGUAGUGGGCAUUCGCCCGUGGGAGUUCAAAUCUCCCCUUCGGCACCA